UCGGAAGAGAAAAGCCCAAAGCCUUGGUCACCUCAAUUUCCAUCCUCCCAUACUCUUGUUUCUCCCAGUUUCUGAAAUAUUAACUGGAGACCAUAGCAGAUUCGGAGCACGAACACGCCAUUAAUGGACUCGGGCCAUUCAAUGAAGCCGUGAGGGAAGCUCGGGGAGCCAGGAGUGUGUACGGAAUGAGGACCGCCGGAUAGGAUGACGACUCGAGGCUUGUAGUCAGCAAUGGUCUUGAGAGAGCUGGUUCCGGAAAGGCAAAGGGAGAAAACAUCGAGAAAUCGGAUACGGCGAGUGAUGAGAUGGGUAUACUGGGAACCGUAGUCGAGUAUCAAAACCAUGUCUGAUUCCACACUUUUGGGGUCGAUGGCCAUGGCUGGAGGCUAAAGAAAUUCGACUGUGGACCCAAUGUAAUCAAUCAUCUUGUUGACGGUGCUGUGAAGAUUUCUCGGUUGUUGGAACUUUUCCGUGCUUAUGAGGAGGAUUCUAAUGUCAAAUUCGUGGUUGUCAAGGGGAAAGGAAGAGCCUUUUGUGCUGGUGGAGAUGUUGCUGCUGUGGUUCGUGAUCUUAAUGAAGGUAAGUGGAAAUUAGGUGCAGAAUUUUUUCGAAAGGAGUUUACCUUAAAUUACUUGAUAGCAACGUACAGUAAACCACAGGUUUCAAUUCUCAAUGGAAUUGUCAUGGGAGGUGGAGCUGGAGCUUCAAUACAUGGUAGAUUUCGAGUUGCAACUGAAACUUCGGUAUUUGCUAUGCCAGAAACAGCUUUGGGACUCUUUCCAGACGUGGGUGCCUCUUACUUCUUGUCAAGACUUCCUGGAUUCCUUGGUAAUGGCAGAUAUCCUUGAUUUACAUAAAUUUUGCUCGAUAUCUUUUAGCUAAUCAUUUUCCUUCUGUAAUGAUUUCUUUUAUGUGGUACAGUAAAUGUGAACCCAAGGCCUUCAAGUAUGUUAAGGGAAUAUUGUAUUUGUUGAUUUAUACAUGGAAGAAAAUGCAUUAUUAUGAUUUAUACAUGGGUUCUCUUGAUAAGUGUAACGAGGUAUGAUAAUAUAAUUCUUUAUUUAAUUUUUUUCUUCAAUAAUUACAAAGUAACAUGGAAAUUUUUUAGAUUUUCAUUCCACUCUUAUUCUCGAAACAUUAUAUUCUCGCACGACUAUUGGUGUCUCUGAAAAAAGUUGAAGUUUGGGACUCACUUGCUGACAAAGAUAGUCCAAUAGUAUAUUCAUCUAAGAUUAAGGAAAUAGUAAGUAAGUCUUUCAAAUAAUAUUAUGGUUUUUUUAAUUUGAAAUAAUAUUAUGUUUUUUUUUAAAAAAAAAAAUAAAACUUUUUUUUUUUAAAUUUCAAAAAUUUAUACAUUUUAAUUAUCUUAUUAUGUUGUCUUUAUGUAUAUGUGUGGAAUUAUAGCUCCGAAAUCUUGAUUUGGGUCUCGAGAGUCAAAUUAAAAACAAGCCAGCUAAUUUUAGCUUCGCUAGCUUUAUUAUUGUGCGUGCUGAUUAUGUCCCCAAACAACCUAAUUUGUUUGACUGCGGGGUAUUUACUAUAUUAUUUAUGAUUACGGCUUGUAAAGUUGAUGUGCGAUCCUUUCAGUUUGAUUCCAAUGAA